rfam:Caloranaerobacter azorensis H53214 contig12, whole genome shotgun sequence.
CAACCUAUGCAGUGAUGUAUAGCUGAACCUUGAGAAGUCAGCAGAGGUCAUAGUACCUAUCAAAACCUAGGAUAGAUAGGGAAGGAC